CCUACGGGAGGCAGCAGUGAGGAAUAUUGGUCAAUGGGCGCGAGCCUGAACCAGCCAAGUCGCGUGAGGGAAGACGGUCCUAUGGAUUGUAAACCUCUUUUGUCGGGGAGCAAAAGACGCCACGCGUGGCGUUCCGAGAGUACCCGAAGAAAAAGCAUCGGCUAACUCCGUGCCAGCAGCCGCGGUAAUACGGAGGAUGCGAGCGUUAUCCGGAUUUAUUGUGUUUAAAGGGUGCGCAGGCGGAAGAUCAAGUCAGCGGUAAAAUUGAGAGGCUCAACCUCUUCGAGCCGUUGAAACUGGUUGUCUUGAGUGAGCGAGAGGUAUGCGGAAUGCGUGGUGUAGCGGUGAAAUGCAUAGAGAUCACGAAGAACUCCGAUUGCGAAGGCAGCAUACCGGCGCCCGACUGACGCUGAGGCACGAAAGCGUGGGUAUCGAACAGGAUUAGAUACCCGGGUAGUC
rnacentral:rRNA from 1 species